AUGCUUGUUUUUGAAAGUAGCCAAGCUGUUUUUUUCAUAUUUUUAAACAUUGAUCACGCGUAAAUUGCAUGCCGAAAAUGAUGGUUCUGGACAAACAAACGACAGUUCACAUGCACUCUUGAAGUACUUCAAUCCUUAAUUCUUUUGACGUCAAAACAUGACAUGUAAUUAAUGAUUGCUAAUGGCCGAAAUUUAUAUAUAUUAGUCAGGUAUAAUUCAGUACAAACAUCGACUAUUUCCCCCAUGUCUUACUAAAGUGGUAUUUGCAUUGAGGGUAGGCCUACAUAUCUUUAUUUCCUCAACAACCCUAUUUCAACUCUUCUCAACGACUUCUUUUGCAUGCAUAUCAUACUGAAUUAUAUAACCCAAAACUAAAGGUAGGCCUAGCCGGUGUUAGUAUUGCUUCUAGUCAUUUUAUUCUAUUUUUAUCAAACACCGCGUAUAUAUUUAUUACCUUAACUUAAGUUUUAUACUUAGUUUUAUCUUACGUCCAAAUGCAUAGGUUUUCUUGGUUUUUCGUCUUCUCAGUAACCACUUCCUCACCGUCAUUCCACACCUAUGGCUAUGAGACAUGUUAUUGGAACAUAAAUAUAACUAUAUUCGUGUUGAAUAUUAUGGAAGAUAAUGAUACAAAUAACAUGCACGUAUUAAAUCACAAGAAAUAGGGCAUAUAAUUUCAUAUAAGCUUUUGUAUCAAGACUGACGACUUUUUACAAAGUCAUCUGUCAGUAUAAAGACAGCUGAAGUGCAGCAAAGUGUUUACGAGAGUCGGAAUGUAGCUACUUAAAAACAAUGCAAACUGAGGAAUGAAAAUAGCUUUUUAACGAUUAUUGCUGAUGUUGAUAUGCUUGUAUUUCGAAAACUUUUGUUUGAUAUAUUGACGAAAAAAAAGAAAGAUUGCAUGUGACUUGUGGUAAAAAAAAUGUGAAAUUACUAUAUCCUGAGUCUGAGAGCAAGCGUCAUACAGUUUUCCGUUUUAUAGAAUAUUAUGAUGUUUUGAUACCCGUAAAGUAAUAUAUGUACAAAAUAUGUAUAAGUACAAAAUUAUUUCACUCCAGCAACACUGCACGAGCAGUUUAUGUCCCGCGUACCUAUAUAUUCGUAUAAUUACUACAACUAAAACCCAGAUUAAAUUACAACAUACAUACGUAUUUUAAGAUAAAUAGCUACAUGGAACAUGAUGGCAACACAGAGUAACUAAAACGAAUGAAGAAAGUGGAAAAUGCCCUGAAAGAUUUAGUGCCUGAGGUUCAAAACCUUCGGUGACCUAAAUGUGUGUAGAAGAAGGCGUAGAUUGGAUCGAGAGCCGAGAGGUUCCGGAGGCUACAUGCGUCAAUCAUCAAUCAUCAAUAUUUCCUGAUCUGUUAUUUAUGAUGCAAUCUCUUUUCCAGGCUAUUUUUGGCUUAUUCGGUUCGGUUAGCUCAGGGAAAAAGCAAGGCUCACGAAACAUAGUAAUGAUUCAACUUCGAAGUUUCAUGAAAGGGCUCAUUUGAAGUUAGCGUAGUAUAUGAAUGAAAUUUUAUGCUUAUGAAAUUACGAAUUACGAAAGGAUAUUAUAUACAGCAGUUAGUCCAUGCGUGUUUUUAAAGAUUAUAAGGUAAUUUAACUGUAAAUUUGUUUGUCUGAAAGCCACUGUUUUUUUCGCACUCGUGUGUCAUGGUAGAUAUCGUCACAUCUGAGAACCCUUUCUUCCUUUAGUGAUCUUCAUAUGUAAUUUAAUUUAAACUUCUUUGUGGGUUUUGUUUUUCUUAGCCGAAUUUUGUAGUAUAUUACAGCUGAAAUAUACUAAAGCUGAAAGUUUUCAGUGCAAGGAUGCAAUCGUUGCUUUAUAUUUUUCGGCGUCUGCUAAUAUUAAAAUAAUGCUGCACUUCAGGUCUUCUUCACGUCCCAAGUUAGAAAGAGAAUUUCGUCCAAAGGCAAAGCGGACUGACGCGCCAGCAACAAUUAAGCUUGUUUUAGUCAAAGCGGGUUAACUGGGCAAACGCAUGUAGCCGUUAGGUUUAACGAUAGACAAUCCAAAAGACAAUUUUGUCUUUUCGCUUGUUUAUGGUUUAACAUACCUGCAAUUUACAAAUUAUUAAGUAAGCAGCCGCUAGCUUGGUUUGCAUGACUAUAAUGUUUUGUUGUGUGCCUGAAUCGGAAAUUGUAAUAAGGUGCUUGUAUAGAUAUUGACUGGUGUUCAAGUGAUACUGUGAUACGGAAGUGAAAGUGAUGAUUGAUCUUCAUCAUGAAGAACAAGAAGACUUUCGUGAGUGUAGCAUAAUGCAAAUUUGCAGGAAUAUUGCUAAGUUAUGCAUAAAUCAGCAUAAACAGCGCGUAUAAAGCUAGUCGAAAACCGCAGCUUGAUAACAGAAGUGAGAAGAAGUUCAGAAGACAACAAGAAAAAUCUAAGGAAGAAUAAAGUGCAGAGAUGAGGACAUUGUAUUUGUUACUUGCACUUGGUCUGCUGUGUGCAGUGGUAUAUUCAAUACCAGUCGAAGAUGAUGAACCUUUGGAAAACGAGUUGAAAGAAGAGAAUGAUGAAAAUGCCUUGGAAGAAGACGAUGAAGACGAUGAAGACGACGACGAUGGCGAAGUUCAAGUUCAAGCAGAUCCUUCAGCAAGAUAUAGGAGGCCGAGGUACAGGGGCGGAUUUCGCAGGCGUAGGCAAGGCAGGCGCAGACGUAGCAGGGGUGGAUAUGGCGGGCGCAGGGUUGGAUAUGGCAGGCGCAGGGUUGGAUAUGGCGGGCGCAGGGGAGGACGUAGAUAUGGUCACCGUGGAUAAAUAUGCUACUUGAUGAUAAAAGACUGGACACGCUGAAAUGAAUGGACAACAUUAAAAUGAUAGCUUUUUAAAUUAGUGGCCAUUCUUUCCAAAUGUAAUUGUAGAAUUAUGAAAAAUCAUGCAUUGACUAUA